rnacentral:rRNA from 5 species
GGGUUGUGAGGUUAAGCGACUAAGCGUACACGGUGGAUGCCUAGGCAGUCAGAGGCGAUGAAGGGCGUGCUAAUCUGCGAAAAGCGUCGGUAAGCUGAUAUGAAGCGUUAUAACCGACGAUACCCGAAUGGGGAAACCCAGUGCAAUACGUUGCACUAUCGUUAGAUGAAUACAUAGUCUAACGAGGCGAACCGGGGGAACUGAAACAUCUAAGUACCCCGAGGAAAAGAAAUCAACCGAGAUUCCCCCAGUAGCGGCGAGCGAACGGGGAGGAGCCCAGAGUCUGAAUCAGUUUGUGUGUUAGUGGAAGCGUCUGGAAAGUCGCACGGUACAGGGUGAUAGUCCCGUACACCAAAAUGCACAGGCUGUGAACUCGAUGAGUAGGGCGGGACACGUGACAUCCUGUCUGAAUAUGGGGGGACCAUCCUCCAAGGCUAAAUACUCCUGACUGACCGAUAGUGAACCAGUACCGUGAGGGAAAGGCGAAAAGAACCCCGGCGAGGGGAGUGAAAUAGAACCUGAAACCGUGUACGUACAAGCAGUGGGAGCACCUUCGUGGUGUGACUGCGUACCUUUUGUAUAAUGGGUCAGCGACUUAUAUUUUGUAGCAAGGUUAACCGAAUAGGGGAGCCGUAGGGAAACCGAGUCUUAACUGGGCGUCUAGUUGCAAGGUAUAGACCCGAAACCCGGUGAUCUAGCCAUGGGCAGGUUGAAGGUUGGGUAACACUAACUGGAGGACCGAACCGACUAAUGUUGAAAAAUUAGCGGAUGACUUGUGGCUGGGGGUGAAAGGCCAAUCAAACCGGGAGAUAGCUGGUUCUCCCCGAAAGCUAUUUAGGUAGCGCCUCGUGAACUCAUCUUCGGGGGUAGAGCACUGUUUCGGCUAGGGGGCCAUCCCGGCUUACCAAACCGAUGCAAACUCCGAAUACCGAAGAAUGUUAUCACGGGAGACACACGGCGGGUGCUAACGUCCGUCGUGAAGAGGGAAACAACCCAGACCGCCAGCUAAGGUCCCAAAGUCAUGGUUAAGUGGGAAACGAUGUGGGAAGGCACAGACAGCCAGGAUGUUGGCUUAGAAGCAGCCAUCAUUUAAAGAAAGCGUAAUAGCUCACUGGUCGAGUCGGCCUGCGCGGAAGAUGUAACGGGGCUAAACCAUGCACCGAAGCUGCGGCAGCGACACUUAGGUGUUGUUGGGUAGGGGAGCGUUCUGUAAGCCGUUGAAGGUGACCUGUGAGGGUUGCUGGAGGUAUCAGAAGUGCGAAUGCUGACAUAAGUAACGAUAAUGCGGGUGAAAAACCCGCACGCCGGAAGACCAAGGGUUCCUGUCCAACGUUAAUCGGGGCAGGGUGAGUCGACCCCUAAGGCGAGGCUGAAAAGCGUAGUCGAUGGGAAACAGGUUAAUAUUCCUGUACUUGGUGUUACUGCGAAGGGGGGACGGAGAAGGCUAGGCUGGCCGGGCGACGGUUGUCCCGGUUUAAGCGUGUAGGGGGAGUGACCAGGUAAAUCCGGUUGCUUAUCAACCCUGAGGCGUGAUGACGAUGCACCACGGUGCAGAAGCAGUUGAUGCCAUGCUUCCAGGAAAAGCCUCUAAGCAUCAGGUAACAUUAAAUCGUACCCCAAACCGACACAGGUGGUCAGGUAGAGAAUACUCAGGCGCUUGAGAGAACUCGGGUGAAGGAACUAGGCAAAAUGGUGCCGUAACUUCGGGAGAAGGCACGCUGGCGUUAGGUGAAAGGACUAGCUCCUGGAGCUGAAGCCAGUCGCAGAUACCAGCUGGCUGCAACUGUUUAAUAAAAACACAGCACUGUGCAAACACGAAAGUGGACGUAUACGGUGUGACGCCUGCCCGGUGCUGGAAGGUUAAUUGAUGGGGUCAGCCGCAAGGCGAAGCUCUUGAUCGAAGCCCCAGUAAACGGCGGCCGUAACUAUAACGGUCCUAAGGUAGCGAAAUUCCUUGUCGGGUAAGUUCCGACCUGCACGAAUGGCGUAAUGAUGGCCAGGCUGUCUCCACCCGAGACUCAGUGAAAUUGAACUCGCUGUGAAGAUGCAGUGUACCCGCGGCAAGACGGAAAGACCCCGUGAACCUUUACUAUAGCUUGACACUGAACAUUGAGCCUUGAUGUGUAGGAUAGGUGGGAGGCCUUGAAGUGUGGACGCCAGUCUGCAUGGAGCCAACCUUGAAAUACCACCCUUUAAUGUUUGAUGUUCUAACUCGGCCCCAUGAUCUGGGGUGAGGACAGUGUCUGGUGGGUAGUUUGACUGGGGCGGUCUCCUCCCAAAGAGUAACGGAGGAGCACGAAGGUUAGCUAAUCACGGUCGGACAUCGUGAGGUUAGUGCAAAGGCAUAAGCUAGCUUGACUGCGAGAGUGACGGCUCGAGCAGGUACGAAAGUAGGUCUUAGUGAUCCGGUGGUUCUGAAUGGAAGGGCCAUCGCUCAACGGAUAAAAGGUACUCCGGGGAUAACAGGCUGAUACCGCCCAAGAGUUCAUAUCGACGGCGGUGUUUGGCACCUCGAUGUCGGCUCAUCACAUCCUGGGGCUGAAGUAGGUCCCAAGGGUAUGGCUGUUCGCCAUUUAAAGUGGUACGCGAGCUGGGUUUAGAACGUCGUGAGACAGUUCGGUCCCUAUCUGCCGUGGGCGUUGGAAGAUUGAGAGGGGCUGCUCCUAGUACGAGAGGACCGGAGUGGACGAAUCACUGGUGUUCGGGUUGUCAUGCCAAUGGCAUUGCCCGGUAGCUAAAUUCGGAAGAGAUAACCGCUGAAAGCAUCUAAGCGGGAAACUUGCCUCGAGAUGAGUCUUCCCUGGGGCUUAAAGCCCCCUGAAGGAACGUUAAAGACUAUGACGUUGAUAGGCUGGGUGUGUAAGUGCAGCGAUGUAUUGAGCUAACCAGUACUAAUGAUCCGUGAGGCUUAACCUUACAACACCGAAGGUGUUU